AAAAAUCGCCAGCUGAGGAUGACAGAACCAAGUCAGGAAUAUGAGCCAAAGGUUGAAGUGCCAAGAGAGCAAACUACCAGGGUGAGGUUAUAUCACAGGUGGUGGAGCCAGCAUGGGGAUAAAGCUUGAUUCUAGAACCAACUGCAGCUUAAAUCAGGAACUCCAUAUGUCCCAUGUCCUGGGGCAGAACUGGGUGUUUCCAGGAUUUUCUUAAUUAGAAAACAAUGCUAUGAUGAACAUUUUGAUGCAAGUGAAGAAUGAGUUUCUAUGAGGAUUUUCAUUUUGUUUAAGGAAACUGGCAAUUAGACUUUAUCUCCUCUAAGUGUUUGCAUUCACAAAAGGGAGGAGUGCCUGCGUUUUUCUGGCAAGUUUGAGAAAAGCAACUCUUGUUAUAUACCUCUGCCUGGACGAAGGACAUGCUCUGCUCAUAGCCUGCUUGUCUAAAGGUUUUUUGGGAUUUAUUUAUUCAUUUACUCAUGAGAGACACAGAGAGAGAGAGGCAGAGACACAGGCAAAGGGAGAAGCAGGCUCCAUGGAGGGAGCCCGACGUGGGCCUCGAUCCUGGGUCUCCAGGAUCACACCCUCUGCCCCAGGACUGCAGCAGGAGAAGGACACUGGGAUGCCUUACACCGAAGAAGAGGGGGAGAAGGCCAACUUGAUAUGGAAGUCUUCAGUGAGGCUUGGGAGCAUGUGUACAGGGUCAGACAUGUCCCUGUGCCAGGCUCUAUACUAGGCCUUCAACCAUCACCUUCCGGCUGCCCUACACGGAGGCCUUUCCCUUGCCACUGUGGAGUGGAUACAGAAAGAGCCCCGACCACUGUGGAUGUCUCACAGUCAGUUCCUUGGGGACCAAGAUGCUCUGAACAUGUGCAUUCUGACUCAUCUGGAGGAUAUUUGGAAAGGCCUUCCAUACUCAUCAGGUUGUGAUUGUCCCCUGGGCUUUUUUGGAGAUUUGGGGGAUGAGUGAAUCUGGACCUGAGUUCAACCUAAUGGUGUAUCAGGUAUACCUAUCAUAUCUGAUCUUUUGUGAUCAGUCUCCAGAGUGGUGCUUCUCAAACUUGAGUCGGCAUGAGCAUCGCCUGAAGGACUUAUCAGACCACGGCUUCAGUGGGCCCUCCCCAGUUUCUGGUUCAGGCUGAUGUGGGUGAGGCCUGAUGAUUUGCAAGUCCAACAGAUUCUCAGAUGAUGCUUAUCCUGUUGGACUAAGAGAACUUUCUCAAAGCCUCUUGGAAAUACCAAUCUCUGUCUAUGGGCAGAUGAGAUUGCCAUUUACUGAACAUUUGAUCAGCCACCUCUGCCUGCUAGUAACUGAGUUGCCGGUGGAAAAGAGGUACUGACCCUGACAGCUCAUGUGGAAAAAGAAGAGAAUUCUCCCUUUUCACCUUUCCAUCACAGGCUCACAUAUAAUGUGUAAAGGAAGAAGACAACGGGCCACAUCUGUGGCGAGGCAGUGCCCAUCCCAGCUCUAUAUCACUCUGACAUGAUGUGAUGAACGACCAUGUUCAGUGCCCAUUGUGAUCACUUAUGAUGUCUUGGUGCCACACCCUCUGCUUUCAGAUCCCCUCUGGAGGAUACAAGAAUCCUAUGAAGUAGAUAUCACAAUUCCUCUAUUUCAGAAGAGAAAACUGGAGAACAGAGAGGUUACAGACUGUAUCCAAAUUACACAGCUGAAGAAAAAUGAGUGAUUCAGAGAAGGCAAUCUGUUACCUGGAGGAAUUUCGAAUUUUUAAAUGAUCAUUGAUCAGAGUUUUUAAGAAUCUCAGGAAAACAGCGGUUCAGAUAACAAGAAGGGAGUUGCAGCCUCCAGUUUCACCAAGUGGCCCAACAGCAACGUGAGAAACAUGGAGAAACCCAAAAUUCCUGGGAACACUCUGGAUGGGCAGAAGGUCAUCACCAAACUGAAAUCUGGGCACCACCUGAUGCAAACCAAUUAAAUUUCAUAGAAGUGAUGAGGAGUUUGAAGCUCAGAGAGGUUAAGCAACUGGUUGAAGAUCACACAUUACAUGAAAGAUUUCUGAUUGCAUUUCAGAGCCAUUGAAAUCAAAGUCCAGUUUGUUUGUUUGUUUGUUUGUUUUUCUAUUUCCAGUGGUUCUUAACUAGAAGAUACAUCAGAAUCAAUGGUAGCAAUUUUUAAGAAUUACGCAUUUCUGGGCCUACCUUGGCUAUUUUUAUUCUGCAGAUUAAAGGAGCACUUGGGACUUAGUUUCUUUACAGGGCCCACCAAAGAUGCUAAAGGAAAUCCUACCUAAGGACCAUGGUGCCAAGUUGUCAUUGGUUUCUCAACAAGACUCCCUUCCUCACUCCUUUUAAAGUGCUUAUGCCUUUAUUUUAUUUAAAAUAUUAAAAGACAAGGGGCCUCCUGUCAUAAUAAACAGGAGUAAACAACAGUAGACCUUGGCUUCAGCCUUGUUUCUGCCACUAACUGACUGUUAGGGCUUUAGACAAAGCCAUUGAGAUCCUUUGGGCCAGCUUUCUC